rnacentral:rRNA from 1 species
ACGCUCGACACCUACGGGGGGCAGCAGUGGGGGAUAUUGCACAAUGGGGGAAACCCUGAUGCAGCGACGCCGCGUGAAGGAAGAAGGCCUUCGGUUGUAAACUUCUGUCGUACGGGACGAUAGUGACGGUACCGUACAAGAAAGACCACGGCUAACUACGUGCCAUCAGCCGCGGUAAUCUGAGCGGGCUGGCAAGGC